AUUGAACGCUGGCGGCAGGCCUAACACAUGCAAGUCGAACGGUAACAGGAAACAGCUUGCUGUUUCGCUGACGAGUGGCGGACGGGUGAGUAAUGUCUGGGAAACUGCCUGAUGGAGGGAGAUAACUACUGGAAACGGUAGCUAAUACCGCAUAACGUCGCAAGACCAAAGAGGGGGACCUUCGGGCCUCUUGCCAUCGGAUGUGCCCAGAUGGGAUUAGCUAGUAGGUGGGGUAACGGCUCACCUAGGCGACGAUCCCUAGCUGGUCUGAGAGGAUGACCAGCCACACUGGAACUGAGACACGGUCCAGACUCCUACGGGAGGCAGCAGUGGGGAAUAUUGCACAAUGGGCGCAAGCCUGAUGCAGCCAUGUCGCGUGUAUGAAGAAGGCCUUCGGGUUGUAAAGUACUUUCAGCGGGGAGGAAGGGAGUAAAGUUAAUAACCUCAUCGAUUGACGUUACCCGCAGAAGAAGCACCGGCUAACUCCGUGCCAGCCGCCGCAGUAA
rnacentral:rRNA from 1 species